CACCUACUCCCUCCAUCCCGAAAUACUUGUCGAAGAAAUGGAUAAAAAGGAAUGUAUCUAGAACUAAAAUAUGUCUAGAUACAUCAAUUCGUCUGACAAGUAUUUCCGGACGGAGGGAGUAUUUU
rfam:Triticum aestivum genome assembly, contig: Triticum_aestivum_CS42_TGACv1_scaffold_130967_2BL